UAAGUCCGUUAGCAGCUUACCAUGGAACAAUCCGGAGUGGAAACCUCUUCAAUUAAUUGAAAAUGUCGACGUUUACUAACAGAAUUCCCAGUUUGAAUGACGGUAUUCGCCACUUUGUUUAACGCUCUGCCCGCUGCCUUCAAAACUCACCAUGGCAGCGCAGUCGACGUUGACGGCGGCAGAGGCAGAGGCACGAAUUCGCCUCGUUUCGCUUCGUAUUGAGAUAACAACACGCAGGAUAACUCACGCAUGAUUCGAAUCGCAUCUUUCGCUGGCAACAAAUAUAUAUAGUAAUAAGGACGUGCGGUGGCCAUUUUGGGUAGACUGUAGAUUACGAAAAACUGGAGCACAGAUAAAGUCCCUGCCAAGCAAAAAUAAACAAAUUUACUAAUA